AAUUCACUAGUGAUUUUGGAGGGCAAGUCUGGUGCCAGCAGCCGCGGUAAUUCCAGCUCCAAUAGCGUAUAUUAAAGUUGUUGCAGUUAAAAAGCUCGUAGUUGAAUUUCGGGGUCAGUAGGUUGGUCAUGCCACUGGUAUGUACUGGCCUCACUGAUUCCUCCUUCCUGAUGAGCCGUAAUGCCAUUAAUUUGGUGUUGCGAGGAAUCUGGACUGUUACUUUGAAAAAAUUAGAGUGUUUAAAGCAGGCUAACGCUUGAAUACAUUAGCAUGGAAUAAUGAAAUAGGACGUUCGAUCUUAUUUUGUUGGUUUCUAAGAUUGACGUAAUGAUUAAUAGGGAUAGUUGGGGGCAUUAGUAUUCAAUUGUCAGAGGUGAAAUUCUUGGAUUUAUUGAAGACUAACUACUGCGAAAGCAUUUGCCAAGGAUGUUUUCAUUAAUCAAGAACGAAAGUUAGGGGAUCGAAGACGAUCAGAUACCGUCGUAGUCUUAACCAUAAACUAUGCCGACUAGGGAUCGGAUGAUGUUAAUUUUUUAAUGGCUCAUUCGGCGCCUUACGGGAAACAAUCG
rnacentral:rRNA from 1 species